GCUGGGGAGGAGCCCGGGCGUCUGCUGACAGCGGCACCUGUGACUUUGAUCUGCAGUCUUCACCAGCAAGAGGAGCUUUCCCGGCUUACUCGGCUGGGAAGGCCGAGUUUCUAGAGCCGUAGAAGAGGAUUCUCAAAGAUAAAGAGGACAGCUAAGAGGGACAGCUGGAAACAACAAACAUUGUCACAUCUUCUUCAAUGGAUCCACUUCUGAUCUUUGAAAAUCCUUUGAAAAGCCUCCAGUUAAAAUGCAAACUUCCCAGCUAAGUGAAGAGGAAGAUGUUGUCAUUUCUAACACUGAGACAAGAGGGAGAUGAUUCAAACCCAAGUAAAGAGUCAAAAUUA